UAACGAAUAUUCCGCAAUGCGCGAAAGCGUGACGGAGCAAUGCCGCGUGUGGGAUGAAGCCCCUCGGGGUGUAAACCACUGUCAGGGGUCACCAAGCUCUGAGGAACCCCAAAGGAAGGACCGGCUAACUUCGUGCCAGCAGCCGCGGUAAUACGAAGGGUCCGAGCGUUGCGCGGAAUCACUGGGCUUAAAGCGUGCGUAGGCGGACCGGCAAGUGCCUUGUGAAAGCCCACGGCUCAACCGUGGAAUUGCUUGGUAGACUGCCGGUCUUGAGGUCGGUAGAGGCGGUCGGAACUCUAGGUGUAGCGGUGAAAUGCGUAGAUAUCUAGAGGAACGCCCAAGGUGAAGACAGGCCGCUGGGCCGAACCUGACGCUGAGGCACGAAAGCGUGGGGAGCGAACGGGAUUAGAUACCCGCGUAGUCC
rnacentral:rRNA from 1 species